rnacentral:rRNA from 1 species
CCUACGGGUGGCAGCAGUGAGGAAUAUUGGUCAAUGGACGAAAGUCUGAACCAGCCAUGCCGCGUGCAGGAAGACGGCUCUAUGAGUUGUAACCUGCUUUUGUACAAGGGUAAACCUGGAAACGUGUAUUCAGCUGAAAGUACUGUACGAAUAAGGAUCGGCUAACUCCGUGCCAGCAGCCGCGGUAAUACGGAGGAUCCAAGCGUUAUCCGGAUUUACUGGGUUUAAAGGGUGCGUAGGCGGAUUGAUAAGUUAGAGGUGAAAUGUCCGGGCUCAACUCGGGAACUGCCUCUAAUACUGUUGAUCGAGAGAGUAGAUGCGGUAGGCGGAAUGUAUGGUGUAGCGGUGAAAUGCUUAGAGAUCAUACAGAACACCAAUUGCGAAGGCAGCUUACUAAUCUAUAUCUGACGUUGAGGCACGAAAGCGUGGGGAGCAAACAGGAUUAGAUACCCCAGUAGUC